rnacentral:tRNA from 1 species
AUUCACUUAGCUCAAUGGUUAGAGCACUUGAGUUCCAUAUGUUUCAAUUCCAUGAGAUUAUACAUACUCAAGUGGUGCGAGUUCGAUUCUCGCAGUGGACC